rnacentral:rRNA from 1 species
GAUGAACGCUGGCGGCGUGCUUAACACAUGCAAGUCGAACGGAAAGGCUCCUGCUUGCAGGGGUACUCGAGUGGCGAACGGGUGAGUAACACGUGGGUGAUCUGCCCUGCACUUCGGGAUAAGCCUGGGAAACUGGGUCUAAUACCGGAUAGGACCACAUUUUGGAUGGUGUGGUGGAAAGUUUUUCGGUGUGGGAUGGGCUCGCGGCCUAUCAGCUUGUUGGUGGGGUAAUGGCCUACCAAGGCGUCGACGGGUAGCCGGCCUGAGAGGGUGUACGGCCACAUUGGGACUGAGAUACGGCCCAGACUCCUACGGGAGGCAGCAGUGGGGAAUAUUGCACAAUGGGCGCAAGCCUGAUGCAGCGACGCCGCGUGGGGGAUGACGGCCUUCGGGUUGUAAACUCCUUUCGCUAGGGACGAAGCGCAAGUGACGGUACCCGGAGAAGAAGCACCGGCUAACUACGUG